UACGUAGGGUGCGAGCGUUUAAUCGGAAUUACUGGGCGUAAAGGGCUCGUAGGCGGCCAACUAAGUCAGACGUGAAAUCCCUCGGCUUAACCGGGGAACUGCGUCUGAUACUGGAUGGCUAGAGUUUGGGAGAGGGAUGCGGAAUUCCAGGUGUAGCGGUGAAAUGCGUAGAUAUCUGGAGGAACACCGGUGGCGAAGGCGGCAUCCUGGACCAACACUGACGCUGAGGAGCGAAAAGCCAGGGGAGCAAACGGG
rnacentral:rRNA from 1 species